AAAGUUCUCACAGUUCGUCUGCAGUCUGCACAGUGCAGUGCAAGCAAAAACUGUGCUAAAGACUAAAGUCGUCAUAGGCUCACAGCACAUAUUUAGUUUAGCAGGGCCGCGAGGCUGCCAUCAGCACAUUCUGCACAUAUCAUAUAGCCAUAAGCCCAUAAUGUUAUUUCAUAUUGUUUAUUGUAGUGAUUGGAGUGACUUAGUGAGUAUUUGGCAAAUGAUUCCGUUCAAGCAAAAGUUUUCUUUUUUUUUCUGUUACCGACUAACGUGGUUGAAACAGAGCAGUCAAACAAGGAAAUUUCAAACAGCCCAUGUGCUCAGAUCACAUUGGUGCAAGAAGUGACGCAUGGAAUGUUCAACUUAAUAGGAUUUUUCUCUCCUCAUCUCCUCUAAAAAAAUGAGUGCUACAAGAAUGUUCUCUGUGUGUUAUAUCAUCCACCACUUAGCUCCAAUGCAACAGAAAUAAGUCUAAGCUUUCAAGUACGUUGAAGUUAUCUCUGCGUGUGAAGAAUCCAGUGAUCUAGAAUGAAUGAAUAAAGUGAACUCAAACAUUCAGUGACAGUUACACCAACUUACGUGAACUGCCAGACACAAUGUUGUCCUAAAAUAAGAAGAAUGCCAAUCUUGAGUCUACAUAGGGAUUGGCAUGGAUUACAUGCCCACAUCGUGCAACCAAAUAUCAAUCUUGAAGCCAGUGAGCCGAACGCCAACCUUGGUGUAAAAAAGUGCGGAAUCGACGAACGACAACCCAGUGUUUGCUUGCGUGUUUAAAACUGUUUAAGGUCCAACGCAAAAAAUAGUUGAGAUUGAUAACUUUUUUUUAAAUCCUUUCAUUCAACAUCUUGUACUGCCAGUCUCAACAACACGAACAACAAGAUUAUUGACCACACAAUCAUCGCAAAUGCUGGUUAAUUGCAAAACACAUCCUUGUCGUAACAACUGACAUCCGGGAAGAAAAUACUUUGGUGAUGAGACUCUCGCCAUGGAGGAAGUAAUGCGUGACACCACCUAUGCCUCCAUCAAAUGUACUGUUCAUAUAGUUGUGGGACUUGUGGCCAAUACGGAAUUUUAAAAGCCCCUUUAUGACGAGCUAUACUGAGGUAGGCGACGAUACUCAUUGUUGCCAAACGAGCAUAAGGCAACAACAAUCGUUAUCUGAAACUAGACGAACAAGUUGCUAGUGAGGAAUUUCAAACGAUCAUCAAAGUUGAGAAAGAAGAAGAUGACGACUCCAUGCAAUCAAAACAAAGAAGGAAACAUUAGAGCCAGAAGAUCCAUCUGUUACCGCACACCAACAUCUAACGGAACUUAUUCCACAUGUCCAAAUGGCGCCCAAUUAGUUAACUUCCGAUUCAUAGUUCUGUUGGAAUCACUAUCAAGGAAAAAAGAGGUGUGAAGCUCCUUUACCAACUGACAUCAUAUUCAAGUUGGGCAUGGAAGUGCGGCACAAGACGCAUGCCAACCAGUGAACGAGCAAGUCAAAGGAAAGACACCGCACCGCACAAGUUCUCUACAACGGGUUGCGGCGAGUUUGGGCAACCUUACCGCCAUGCUGCACUCUCAAUCCGACCCGGGUCGCUGUUUCCUCUCGAUCCUGGUUGCUGGCAUCAACCCAGUUGUUUUCUCUACUCUUCUACCAAACGCGCAAAGUACCAGGUAAUAGAGAAACAUUUUUAUUAACAUCAGCAAACAAAAACUUGCCGAAAGGUACGUGGUCAUGGUCUUCCUGUUUUGUAUUUUCCCUGACGAGAAAUCUUUUAGCGAAGUAUACAAGAGACCUUGGUUUUAUUCUAACGGGCUCUGAAGUCGCACUGCCUGAGUAAAAAUACUAUAACUGACGGUAGGUAAUGAAAUAUGUUACUGUUUUACAGCAAAGUGACGACGAUUUGAGUCUUUGGCGUUAGUUCAGUUCUUCCACAGCCUUCGUUUCUUACCUAAUUCUGUGUCGACUGUACUAAACUAUUUUAUUUUAUGUAUUUAAGGUAGAUUGGCUUGAGGUUCAAAUAAUGCACUAAAUGCAACUUACAACACUGACGUUGCCAUCUGCAAUGGGAAUGAUCAGGCUAGAUCCUUUGUUCUGAUGGGGAAAUAAUUGGACAUUAUCACUAAAAAGUGCACCAACAAACUUUGUGAAACGGACAUGAAAUAGUCAGAUUUUUGUAGGUCAUUUGCUAUUUUGAUUUUUGAUUUUGUAUGAAAAAAAAAUCAAUCAACGCCAGGUAGCUAACAAUAUUAUCUUAAGACCAGUCUUUCAAAUACUGAGUUUUGAGACGUGUUAAACAGAUGGCGUGUUGAUUGUGUCAGUUAUGGGCUUCUGGCGAUUUGAUGUCAACAUUUAAGCUAUCCAUUAUUCGAAAAUUAUCAAUGAAUUCAUAGGAAGAAACGUGAAAGCUGGAACCUACCGUCAACUAUUUUGUUCAAAAUCAUUGUAUUCUACUGAAUGUGUCAUCAAAAUGAUAAGUAGAUCACCAACCCCAGCACGGACCAAUCUCUCAUUCCAUCUCCUAUAGAACCUUGGAUAACUGAUCGGUGGUUUCAUGUGUAAGUUCACUUGUCACUGAACUAUGGAAAAUAUUCUGUCCAGGGAAUGACGCCUUAAAAGAAAGAACUGCGGCUGCGAUCUUCAACAAUCUUGCGUAACAAUAUUGCAUGAAUUUUGAUGCUGAAAGACUUUGAAACCAUGCUGUCCAGUGUCCACCACGUCGAGAAGCUGAGUAACAUUCGGCUAACAUUAUGUGUGUACAAUGGGGCCUCUUAAUAAAAGGAACUGAAGCCAUCCAAUCUAGGUCUUCAAUCCAAUCAUGAAGGCUGUAUGGAAGUGGCAUUUACCUUUGCUGUGAACAUCAUGAACACAUACACUUUUUGAAGGUUCAUGUUUACAUAGCAGUGGUGUUGCUGUCCAAUGUGGCGUGUUGUUGCAGCCUAUGAC
rnacentral:lncRNA from 1 species